rnacentral:lncRNA from 1 species
CUGAAUUUUAAGUGUAUUUACCCUUAAGAUCUGAUCUACUUGCAGAGGGUCAAACAUCGCAACUCCAAAGGGAGAAGUCUCAUCCAAUCUGGAUUUACAGUUUCAAAUGGUAUAUGGAUCCUAAUUUUCCCGAGAGCCGUUUGCUGCCAGCUCCUCAAAAUAUAGAGUCCAUCGCUUCCACUUACUCUGGGGCUGCAGUUUGAUUAAGGCAGUGUUUCUCUGCUCAGAAGGAGGAGGAGGUAAGUCUGGGAGGGAGGGAGGUGGAGGAGACCCGGGGGAGGAGGAGCUCUUAGAGAUGACCAGCCUGGUGGGGGGUGGUCCGGGUGGAGUUAGAGCACUGGGGUGGAGUUUGGAGGCUGGGAGGAGGAGUUUAGGGGGAAGAGGGGAUCAUUGCAUUGGAGAAGGCUUUCCACGUGAUGGAGGGGUGGGCUUGGGAGGGAGAGGCGGUCAGGGUCCCUGAGUCUAGAAGGAUCAGAGUGGGAUGAUGGGAAACAGGAAGUCUUUGAGCUGAGACUGCUCCUCCUUCCGUGGAGCUCAGAUUCUCUCCUUUUUCCUUUUGACCGGAGUUCUCUCUGCCUUCCCCGGGACCUGAGAUCGCUCUGCCUUCCAGAAGCCCACUCUGUUCUUGCAGAUCCCAGGGAGCCUGGAUUGGGAGAGAAUGAGUCUUGGGAGCAGCCAAGCCCCAGCCCAGGUGAGUGCAGUCCAUCCAUAGACUUGACUGAUGUCAGCAAUCCAGCCAUUUCCAUAGACACAGAGGUUGGUCUAUGAAGCUGGCAAUGCCUGCUUUAGGGAUCAUUUCUGUACAAAAAUAGGCAUGAAAUUGAAUACAGUAGUAUCAACACUACCCUACUCUUUUCCAUGUUUCAAACUGAUUCAUUGGGUCCUUGAUAUAUUGAGCACUGCUCCCCCAUCCCAUGCUGCCCUCCCUGUUUGUUUUUAAGUUCUCCCUCAUUGCAGCUGUCUAACAAGGGUGACCACUUCACUCAUUAGUCUCUAUUACCUAGGGAUCAUAUUUUAGCUCUCUUAAUGGCUGCCUAGUAUUGUACACACACACACACACACACACACACACACACACACACACACACACACACAACUUCUCCCCUUCUUCUUUGUUUCUUGUGGCCGAGCUCUCCCC